UCCACUGGGCCAGAGCGUGAUUAACAGCCAGGAUCCAUCUGAUGGAUUGAUCCGACGGCCGUAGAGGAUCGUUCCUGCCUGGCUAGCCUGAGCAGGGUGGCCCAGUGGUUGUCUGA
rnacentral:snoRNA from 1 species